rnacentral:misc_RNA from 1 species
GAAAUGCGAUAAGUAAUGUGAAUUGCAGAAUUCAGUGAAUCAUCGAAUCUUUGAACGCACCUUGCGCUCCUUGGUAUUCCUUGGAGCAUGCCUGUUUGAGUAUCAUGAAAUCUUCAAAGUAAAUCUUUUGUUAACUCAAUUGGUUUCUACUUUGGUAUUGGAGGUCUUUGCAGCUUCACACCUGCUCCUCUUUGUUCAUUAGCUGGAUCUCAGUGUUAUGCUUGGUUCCACUCGGCGUGAUAAGUUAUCUAUCGCUGAGGACACUGUAAAAGGUGGCCAAGGUAAAUGCAAAUGAACCGCUUCUAAUAGUCCAUUGACUUGGACAAUACUUUUAAGAUCUGAUCUCAAAUCAGGUAGGACUACCCGCUGAACUUAAGC